AAAAGGGGUGUGGACGCAUCCACAUCAGCAGGAAGUAGUAGGAAAAGUCACCAGGGAACACAAAAGGAUGAGGCCGGGAGAAUUUAAGCAUGCAAAUGGGUAGGAUGGCCCGUUUACUGAUCAGCUGCUGCCUCCUCCUUCUCCUCCAUGUCACAGGAGCUCUGAGGCCGUGCCUUCGCCUCAAGCUCCCUCUCUCCAGCUGGCUCCACGUGAGGCUCCUCUGCCAGGAGGUACUGGGCCAGCUGCUCCAGGUGCUCCAGGCUUAUCUUCUGCAGGCGCUCCUCGUGCUCCUGCCUUAGCAGCUGCAGCACGGCCUUGGCAUCCUGUGGUUCAAAGUGUUUAGCUAGGACCAGUCCCAGCCGGUGCCACAGGGGCUGGGGCUGGGGCUGGUGGGCCUCCUUUAGCGCCAUCUUCUCCAAGGGCUGCAUGAUGACAUUGAUAGAGGCAUUGGGCCCAAUGCAGUAGUCAGAGAGGUGCUUGUCAUCCUCCAGGAGCUGGCCACGGAAAAGCAGGUGCUGCUGCUCCUCAGGCACCUUCAGCUGCCUGGACACCAGUCUCUUCAGCGUGGCUACACUCUCUUGCCCUGACACCUUCAGACUCUGGCCCAGGAGCAGCUUGACGGGGUGACUGCUUCCUUGAAGAUCUGUGUCAUCAACCAGAGCGACAGGAACCCUCCACCAUGUGGCAAAGAUC
rnacentral:lncRNA from 1 species